rnacentral:rRNA from 1 species
CGGCGUGCCUAAUACAUGCAAGUCGAGCGGUAAGGCUUUACACAGUUUGCUUAAAUGGUCUUUGACCACUCUUUAUCUGGCUAGAUAAAUGAGUUUGAGCGAAGUGUGUAGAGUACACGAGCGGCGGACGGCUGAGUAAUGCAUUGGAACGUACCCCAAACUGAGGGAUAAUUCACCGAAAGGUGGACUAAUACCGCAUGUGCCAUUCGUGGUAAAGCUACGGCGGUUUGGGAGCGGCCAAUGUUCGAUUAGCUAGUUGGUGAGGUAAUAGCUCACCAAGGCUACGAUCGAUAGCGGGUCUGAGAGGAUGAUCCGCCAGACUGGAACUGAGACACGGUCCAGACUCCUACGGGAGGCAGCAGUAGGGAAUUUCCACAAUGGGGGGCAACCCUGAUGGAGCAACGCCGCGUGCAGGAUGAAGGCCCUCGGGUCGUAAACUGCUUUUCUCUGUGAUGAUUAUGACAGUAGCAGAGGAAUAAGGAUCGGCUAACUCCGUG